AUAGGGACGAAGGGCGAAGGGUUAAUAGCCCCUAGUCUGACGGUACCUUUCGAGGAAGCCCCGGCUAACUACGUGCCAGCAGCCGCGGUAAUACGUAGGGGGCGAGCGUUGUCCGGAAUUAUUGGGCGUAAAGAGCGUGUAGGCUGUUCGGUAAGUCUGCCGUGAAAACCUGAGGCUCAACCUCGGGCGUGCGGUGGAUACUGCCGGGCUAGAGGACGGUAGAGGCGAGUGGAAUUCCCGGUGUAGCGGUGAAAUGCGCAGAUAUCGGGAGGAACACCAGUAGCGAAGGCGGCUCGCUGGGCCGUUCCUGACGCUGAGACGCGAAAGCUAGGGGAGCGAACAGGAUUAGAUACCCUGGUAGUCCUAGCUGUAAACGAUGGACACUAGGUGUGGGGGGAGUCGAAUCCCUCUGUGCCGCAGUUAACGCGUUAAGUGUCCCGCCUGGGGAGUACGGCCGCAAGGCUAAAACUCAAAAGAAUUGACGGGGGCCCGCACAAGCAGCGGAGCAUGUUCUUUAAUUCGAUGCAACGCGAAGAACCUUACCUGGACUUGACAUGGUGCUGCAAGCGCACGGAAACGUGUGACCUUCGAGGGUGCACCACAGAUGCUGCAUGGCUGUC
rnacentral:rRNA from 1 species